rnacentral:rRNA from 1 species
GGCUAUCUGCAGUCGAGCGAAUGAUGAGGAGCUUGCUCCUCUGAUUUAGCGGCGGACGGGUGAGUAACACGUGGGUAAUCUGCCUGUAAGACGGGGAUAACUCCGGGAAACCGGGGCUAAUACCGGAUAACAAGAGAAGAAGCAUUUCUUCUUUUUGAAAGUCGGCAUCUCGCUGACACUUACAGAUGAGCCCGCGGCGCAUUAGCUAGUUGGUGAGGUAACGGCUCACCAAGGCGACGAUGCGUAGCCGACCUGAGAGGGUGAUCGGCCACACUGGGACUGAGACACGGCCCAGACUCCUACGGGAGGCAGCAGUAGGGAAUCUUCGGCAAUGGGCGAAAGCCUGACCGAGCAACGCCGCGUGAGCGAUGAAGGCCUUCGGGUCGUAAAGCUCUGUUGUUAGAGAAGAACAAGUACGAGAGUAACUGCUCGUACCUUGACGGUACCUAACCAGAAAGCCACGGCUAACUACGUGCCAGCAGCCGCGGUAAUACGUAGGUGGCAAGCGUUAUCCGGAAUUAUUGGGCGUAAAGCGCGCGCAGGCGGUCUCUUAAGUCUGAUGUGAAAGCCCACGGCUCAACCGUGGAGGGUCAUUGGAAACUGGGAGACUUGAGUGCAGGAGAGAAAAGUGGAAUUCCACGUGUAGCGGUGAAAUGCGUAGAGAUGUGGAGGAACACCAGUGGCGAAGGCGGCUUUUUGGCCUGUAACUGACGCUGAGGCGCGAAAGCGUGGGGAGCAAACAGGAUUAGAUACCCUGGUAGUCCACGCCGUAAACGAUGAGUGCUAGGUGUUGGGGGGUUCCACCCUCAGUGCUGAAGUUAACACAUUAAGCACUCCGCCUGGGGAGUACGACCGCAAGGUUGAAACUCAAAGGAUUUGACGGGGGCCCGCACAAGCAGUGGAGCAUGUGCUUAUUCGAAGCACGCGAAGAACCUUACCAGGGCUGACUUCCUCUGAUCACUCUAGAAUAGAGCUUUCCCCUUCGGGGAUAGAGGGCCGGCGUGUCAUGGUUG